rnacentral:rRNA from 1 species
CCUACGGGAGGCAGCAGUGAGGAAUAUUGGUCAAUGGUCGGGAGACUGAACCAGCCAAGCCGCGUGAGGGAGGAAGGUACAGAGUAUCGUAAACCUCUUUUGUAAGGGAACAAAGGCGGGGACGUGUCCCCGGAUGAGAGUACCUGAAGAAAAAGCAUCGUCUAACUCCGUGCCAGCAGCCGCGGUAAUACGGAGGAUGCGAGUGUUAUCCGGAUUUAUUGUGUGUAAAGGGUGCACAGACGGUCUGAUAAGUCAGCGGUAAAAGCCCGGGGCUCAACCCCGGCCCGCCGUUGAAACUGGCAGGCUCGAGUUGGAGAGAAGUAUGCGGAAGGCGCGGUGUAGCGGUGAAAUGCAUAGAUAUCGCGCAGAACUCCGAUUGCGAAGGUAGCAUGCCGGCUCCACACUGACGCUGAGGCACGAAAGCGUGGGUAUCGAACAGGAUUAGAUACACGAGUAGUC